UACUGUUUGGCCUGUGUGCUGUCGUUUUUUCACUCUGCCGUCGUCUUUGCAGGAUGAGAUGUUGAACCAGGAGACAGGAAUAAGUGAAAAUAUUCAUCAAGCAGAUUAAGUAAAUACACGUACUGUGGUUUCGGCUUCUGAUGUCAUUAAACUCAGCAGUGUGACACAUGGAAUAGGAAUAAAGGGAGGGAUUUAUCAGAGAUGUGUUCUAUUAGAGGAGGAAAACACUUGGAUUGGGUUUUAGUGGUUUUAGUGUUAAGUCUGUGUGUGUGUGUGUGUGUGUGUGAGUGUGUGUA